GUGUAUUUAUAAUAUUGUUUGCCUCUUACUGUAAAAUAUCACAUUAACGGUCUUACCUGCAAUAAAGGAAAUUAUCUGAAAAGCAAUGAUUGAAAUAAACAGCUCCUUCAUAAUUAUUAUCCGAACACUUCCCGUUCUGAAAUCUGAGGAGACGUUCCUAUCAAAUGCUUGCUAAGAGUGUUCUAAACAAAUGAACGUUUUAUAUCUUGUUAAAUGUAAUUCAUUGUAAUUAAUCAUUUCUACGAAAUGUAAUAAG
rnacentral:lncRNA from 1 species